AGUGAACGCUGGCGGUAGGCCUAACACAUGCAAGUCGAACGGCAGCACAGUAAGAGCUUGCUCUUACGGGUGGCGAGUGGCGGACGGGUGAGGAAUACAUCGGAAUCUACUUUUUCGUGGGGGAUAACGUAGGGAAACUUACGCUAAUACCGCAUACGACCUACGGGUGAAAGCAGGGGAUCUUCGGACCUUGCGCGAUUGAAUGAGCCGAUGUCGGAUUAGCUAGUUGGCGGGGUAAAGGCCCACCAAGGCGACGAUCCGUAGCUGGUCUGAGAGGAUGAUCAGCCACACUGGAACUGAGACACGGUCCAGACUCCUACGGGAGGCAGCAGUGGGGAAUAUUGGACAAUGGGCGCAAGCCUGAUCCAGCCAUACCGCGUGGGUGAAGAAGGCCUUCGGGUUGUAAAGCCCUUUUGUUGGGAAAGAAAAGCAGUAGGUUAAUACCCCGCUGUUCUGACGGUACCCAAAGAAUAAGCGCCGGCUAACUUCGUG
rnacentral:rRNA from 1 species